GACGAACGCUUGCGGCGUGCUUAACACAUGCAAGUCGAACGGAAAGGCCCUGCUUUUGUGGGGUGCUCGAGUGGCGAACGGGUGAGUAACACGUGAGUAACCUGCCCUUGACUUUGGGAUAACUUCAGGAAACUGGGGCUAAUACCGGAUAGGAGCUCCUGCUGCAUGGUGGGGGUUGGAAAGUUUCGGCGGUUGGGGAUGGACUCGCGGCUUAUCAGCUUGUUGGUGGGGUAGUGGCUUACCAAGGCUUUGACGGGUAGCCGGCCUGAGAGGGUGACCGGCCACAUUGGGACUGAGAUACGGCCCAGACCCCUACGGGAGGCAGCAGUGGGGAAUAUUGCACGAUGGGCGGAAGCCUGAUGCAGCAACGCCGCGUGCGGGAUGACGGCCUUCGGGUUGUAAACCGCUUUCGCCUGUGACGAAGCGUGAGUGACGGUAAUGGGUAAAGAAGCACCGGCUAACUACGUGCCAGCAGCCGCGGUGAUACGUAGGGUGCGAGCGUUGUCCGGAUUUAUUGGGCGUAAAGGGCUCGUAGGUGGUUGAUCGCGUCGGAAGUGUAAUCUUGGGGCUUAACCCUGAGCGUGCUUUCGAUACGGGUUGACUUGAGGAAGGUAGGGGAGAAUGGAAUUCCUGGUGGAGCGGUGGAAUGCGCAGAUAUCAGGAGGAACACCAGUGGCGAAGGCGGUUCUCUGGGCCUUUCCUGACGCUGAGGAGCGAAAGCGUGGGGAGCGAACAGGCUUAGAUACCCUGGUAGUCCACGCUGUAAACGGUGGGUACUAGGUGUGGGGUCCAUUCCACGGGUUCCGUGCCGUAGCUAACGCUUUAAGUACCCCGCCUGGGGAGUACGGCCGCAAGGCUAAAACUCAAAGGAAUUGACGGGGCCCCGCACAAGCGGCGGAGCAUGCGGAUUAAUUCGAUGCAACGCGUAGAACCUUACCUGGGUUUGACAUGGAUCGGGAGUGCUCAGAGAUGGGUGUGCCUCUUUUGGGGUCGGUUCACAGGUGGUGCAUGGCUGUCGUCAGCUCGUGUCGUGAGAUGUUGGGUUAAGUCCCGCAACGAGCGCAACCCUUGUUCACUGUUGCCAGCACGUUAUGGUGGGGACUCAGUGGAGACCGCCGGGGUCAACUCGGAGGAAGGUGGGGAUGACGUCAAGUCAUCAUGCCCCUUAUGUCCAGGGCUUCACGCAUGCUACAAUGGCUGGUACAGAGAGUGGCGAGCCUGUGAGGGUGAGCGAAUCUCGGAAAGCCGGUCUCAGUUCGGAUUGGGGUCUGCAACUCGACCUCAUGAAGUCGGAGUCGCUAGUAAUCGCAGAUCAGCAACGCUGCGGUGAAUACGUUCCCGGG
rnacentral:rRNA from 1 species